UACUGCCCCAGAUGGUAGUGAAAAGCCCGGACUGCAAAAAACUAUUUUUUCUUGGUUCUAAAGAGCGACCGGCAGGAAGCUCCUUUAUGACCUUAGAAAAAAAGUUUUUUGAAGGAGGACUUGCAAUGUACAGCUGGAUUAGGC
rnacentral:misc_RNA from 1 species